rnacentral:rRNA from 1 species
CUCCGGGUUGAUCCCGCCGGACCUGACUGCUAUCGGAUUGGUACUAAGCCAUGCGAGUCAUUGUAGCAAUACAAGGCGGACGGCUCAGUAACACGUAGUCAACCUAACUCGUGGACGUGGAUAACCUCGGGAAACUGAGAAUAAACCACGAUAGAUCAUAGUGCCUGGAAUGGCUUAUGGUCCAAACAGUUUACUGCCAUGGGAUGGGACUGCGGCCUAUCAGCUUGUUGGUGAGGUAAUGGCCCACCAAGGCGAUUACAGGUACGGGCUCUGAGAGGAGAAGCCCGGAGAUGGGUACUGAGACACGGACCCAGGCCCUAUGGGGCGCAGCAGGCGAGAAACCUUAGCAAUGUGCGAAAGCACGACUGGGUCAGUCCGAGUGAUUCCUGAUAAAGGAGUCUUUUGCUUGUCCUAAAAGCACAGGUGAAUAAGGGGUGGGCAAGUCUGGUGUCAGCCGCCGCGGUAAUACCAGCACCUCGAGUGGUCAGGACGUUUAUUGGGCCUAAAGCAUCCGUAGCCGGCUUUGCAAGUCUUCGGUUAAAUCCACCUGCUCAACAGAUGGGCUGCUGGAGAUACUACAAAGCUAGGGAGUGGGAGAGGCAGACGGUAUUCAGUGGGUAGGGGUAAAAUCCUCUGAUCCAUUGAGGACCACCAGUGGCGAAGGCGGUCUGCCAGAACACGUUCGACGGUGAGGGAUGAAAGCUGGGGGAGCAAACCGGAUUAGAUACCCGGGUAGUCCCAGCUGUAAACGAUGCAAACUCGGUGAUGCAUUGGCUUAUGGCCAAUGCAGUGCCGCAGGGAAGCCGUUAAGUUUGCCGCCUGGGAAGUACGGACGCAAGUCUGAAACUUAAAGGAUUGGCGGGGGAGCA